CUCGAGGUGACCUCCCUCCUUAGCCCCACCAGAGACAGUCAGCGUUUCACAGAGCUGCUGCCAACCUGGUCAUAGGUCCCCAAAUGUACCUCCCUUGAGGGGGAAGGAAGGUGAAUCAUAUCCAGGCAGGAUCCUGGCUCAGUCAAUACCCACACACAAACUUUGCAAAGCCAAGAUUUCGGCACCAACUCCAGCUGGACACGCAAGUGCCCCCAGCCCUGCUCUGGGGCCGCUCCACGGCCGUGUGCCAGCCCCUGAGGCACUCAGCAGCAGGAUCCAGGCCUUCAGGUUCAUCACUGGACCCCCUUCAUGGACCUGGUGGAGUGAGGGAUCCCUGCACAGCCCAGGAGGGCAGAGGGGUGAGGCACGAGCACGCCGAGGGUUUUCACACGCUUUCACCCACAGCAGGCGGAGCACGUUCAUCACUGCGGGCCCAGCUAAGGAGGGAUACAAAGUUCAGCUGCACAGAACAGCAUCCCUGCAUCGAGCAGCUCAGAGCACUGAGAUCAAGAUUUUGGCUCAGAAGACAGACAACCCUGGCUCCCCUGCCUUCGUUCUCAAUCCACUCUCCUCCUGCCCCAUCAGGACUGCAGGGCAGGAGGAACAGGCAAGGAGGAGUUUGAUCUUCACUGCUCCUUCCUUAAGGUUGUUAUUUUGAGCUUAACAGCUCAGAAUGGAUAAUUUUUAUGUGGCCAGAAUCUGCUGUGGACUUCAUUUAUCCAGAAAAGGCUAAAUGGGCACAGAACCUUUGCACUUGCCUGCCUUGACUGCACACUGAAAUCCCAAAUUCUGGUGUGCUGAGAGGCUGUUGGCUGCUUUGCUCUCAUCCUGCCUGUGUUUGGCCUUCAAAUGGGCAAAUGCAAUUCUGGUAACAGAGCAGAGGAAAGCUCAGAGAGGCCACAGGAGCAUUGUGCCUCUUCGGAAGGAGACAGCAGAUAAACAGGAUUAAGGAAUUUUGCAUAGUUCAACCUGCCAGGUCCUGUGAAGAGGAAAUGUAGGCAGUGCCUGCAGCCCUGAUUCAGAGAAGAAGCCUUUGAAAUGCUUGCCAGGCAAAAUGUGUUAAGAUACAAGCUGCUUUUCCUCUGUAGCACAGUGUAGUUCAGGGAACAGCCCUCCCUCUGUGGAGCCCACCCCACACCAGGCACAGUCUGUGGUGCUUAUACAGAUUUCAAGAGCCCUGGGAGCCAAGCAAAGCUGUCCUGAUUCUGAGUCACAGCCUGGUGCUGGUGCUGGAAUUCAAACAGGGAGAUCCCCUGCAAGAUGUUCUGCUCUGGACCAGACCAAAAAAUUUCACCAAGAAUUUGUUUCCCAGGAAGACCUUAAUUUUUUUCAUAUCUUUUAUUUUUUGUUGUUGUUGUUGAAAAGUGCUGAAAACUAAAAUAUUUAAAAUGGGGCUGGUUGUAUUUGGGGUUUUCUUUAGGGGUUAUGUCUAGAGAAAGUGUUUGGAUUUCCAGGUGAAACUGGCAUGUUCUGACACCUGUUCUCACAGCAGCAGGUGUAUCUUGCAGUGGCUUGGGCUAUGCCCAGUGGGAAUGGAGCAUUAAAGACUCUGCCUCAGCAGUCUUUCCCCCCAGGAGGAGAGGAUACACCUGUAAUUCACCACUGCUCUGGGACAAGAGAAGCUGCCAGUGUCCCUCUCCAAAACCAGAGUCCUUCACAUCCUCUCCUCACUCCUGGCCACAGCACCAAAGGAUGAACACUGAUUUUUGUGAGCUCUUUGUAAGCCAGCACACAGUGAAGCCUGAGGGGACUCUGCUUAUCAAACCCAAGGGAAAGAUAUUGGGACAAAGGACAGGAGCACUGCAAAAUAAAGUUCCUGCUGUGUGAUCA
rnacentral:lncRNA from 1 species